rnacentral:miRNA from 1 species
GAGUGGUCUAUUCCUACUCUU